rnacentral:rRNA from 1 species
CAGUAGCCGCGGUAACACGAAGGGUGCAAGCGUUAAUCGGAAUUACUGGGCGUAAAGCGUGCGUAGGCGGUUUGUUAAGUCUGUUGUGAAAUCCCCGGGCUCAACCUGGGAAUGGCAAUGGAUACUGGCAAGCUAGAGUGUGUCAGAGGAUGGUGGAAUUCCCGGUGUAGCGGUGAAAUGCGUAGAGAUCGGGAGGAACAUCAGUGGCGAAGGCGGCCAUCUGGGACAACACUGACGCUCAUGCACGAAAGCGUGGGGAGCAAACAGGAUUAGAGACCCCUGUAGUCCCUGUCUCUUAUAC